CGGCUCUCGCAGAGCAGUGGCCGCACAGCGUUAAAAUCCCGCUCGACAACCUUUACGGCAUGCACCU
rnacentral:tRNA from 1 species